AGAGCGAACGCUGGCGGCAGGCCUAACACAUGCAAGUCGAACGGACCCUUCGAGGUUAGUGGCGGACGGGUGAGUAACACGUGGGAACGUGCCUUUUGGUUCGGAAUAGCUCCUGGAAACGGGUGGUAAUGCCGAAUGUGCCCUUCGGGGGAAAGAUUUAUCGCCAUUAGAGCGGCCCGCGUCUGAUUAGCUAGUUGGUGAGGUAAAGGCUCACCAAGGCUACGAUCAGUAGCUGGUCUGAGAGGAUGACCAGCCACAUUGGGACUGAGACACGGCCCAAACUCCUACGGAGGCAGCAGUGGGAAUCUUGCGCAAGUGGGACGAAAGCCUGACG
rnacentral:rRNA from 1 species